rnacentral:rRNA from 1 species
CCACGCCGUAAACGAUGAGGACUAAGUGUUGGGGUGACCCAGUGCUGAAGUUAACGCAUUAAGUCCUCCGCCUGGGGAGUACGGCCGCAAGGUUGAAACUCAAAGGAACUGACGGGUCUCCGCACAAGCGGUGGAGCAUGUUGUUUAAUUCGACGAUACGCGAAGAACCUUACCAGGGCUUGACAUCUUCUUGACCGUCUUAGAGAUAAGAUUUCCCUUCGGGGCAAGAAUGACAGGUGGUGCAUGGUUGUCGUCAGCUCGUGUCGUGAGAUGUUGGGUUAAGUCCCGCAACGAGCGCAACCCCUAGCAAUAGUUGCUAACAUUCAGUUGAGGACUCUAUCGAGACUGCCAGUGACAAACUGGAGGAAGGUGGGGAUGACGUCAAAUCAUCAUGCCCCUUAUGUCCUGGGCUACAAACGUGCUACAAUGGCCGGUACAAUGAGUUGCCAAGUCGCAAGACGGAGCUAACCUCGUAAAGCCGGUCUCAGUUCGGAUCGAAGUCUGCAACUCGACUUCGUGAAGUUGGAAUCGCUAGUAAUCGUGGGUCAGCAUACCACGGUGAAUACGUUCUCGGAGAUUGUACACACCGCCCGUCAUACCAUGGAAGUCUGUAACACCCGAAGUACGUGGCCUAACUGCUUGCAGAGGGAGCGUCCUAAGGUGGGAUGGAUAACUGGGGUAAAGUCGUAACAAGGUAACC